GCACCAACAGCUACAACUGCCGCACCAACAGCUACAACUGCGGCACCAACAGCUGCAACUGCGGCACCAACAGCUGCAACUGCGGCACCAACAGCUGCAACUGUGGCACCAACAACCACAAAAAAACGAGUGAGUUUCAGGUCUGUUGGGCAAACAUUCACAACCGACUUGUUGGAUCCAUCAUCUGCUGCUUUUAAAGGAAGAGCUACUAACAUAAAGAAUCAGCUUGAACCUGAGUACAAAAAGGAAUUCCCCUCUUCCUUCCGUUCCUUCGAAGUGGUGGAAUUCAGAAAUGGAUCAAUCAUCACUAUUUCUGACCUCACCUUCAAUGGCACAUCUGUUCCUGACAACACUGCGAUUAAAAACGUUUUGCUAAAUGCAGCUUCAUCAGUCAGCGGCUUCAACAUUGAAGCCAACUCCGUCAACGUGGAGGACAUAGCUUCAAGUGGAGUCAGUCAACAGAUCAGUCUUGUCACUGCAUCCUGUCUGGUGCUCUUGUCAUGGCUACUGUCAAGCCAGCAAUAGCAUCUGUGCUGAUUUCCUUAUGAAUUUCCAUGGGAACAAGAACAACAUCUCUGGAAUGAAAAAGGACUUUAUUGUCAGCAAAAAUCCCAGAUUGUUGAUUUUUUUAAUGUGUUGCACGGUUUUGGAUUAACUAAAUUUUACUUUGUUAGAUAUUAAUGUCUUAUCUAAAGCUUUCUAUAAUCUCCAAAUUCAUGUCAAAUGAAUGUUCAGGUUUGUUUCUCGAAAAAAUGAAAGAACACAUGCAGGUCAUCGCGGGCUCCACAAUCCAACUGCUUAUAUUCUACCAAAGGCCAUGGAGUAAAACAUGAAUACUGUGAUUCAAUAUGAUGCAUAGUUGUGUUUUGUGAGAGUUCUUAAUGUUAGAAGUUAAAAACUUUACAAUGAUCAGAAUACAAAAUAUUCCCAUCUUAAAGUCAAAGUGUUUAUUGCGUGACGUUUUGUAAUUUUGUUGAUUAAGGAGAAACUGGAUCAUGUGUCUGAGUCAAAAGCAUUAAUAAAAGCAUCACUGAAGUUGACAGAAAAUCAAA